AUACGUAGGUGGCAAGCGUUGUCCGGAUUAAUUGGGCGUAAAGCGAGCGCAGGCGGUUUCUUAAGUCUGAUGUGAAAGCCCCCGGCUCAACCGGGGAGGGUCAUUGGAAACUGGGAGACUUGAGUGCAGAAGAGGAGAGUGGAAUUCCAUGUGUAGCGGUGAAAUGCGUAGAUAUAUGGAGGAACACCAGUGGCGAAGGCGGCUCUCUGGUCUGUAACUGACGCUGAGGCUCGAAAGCGUGGGGAGCAAACAGGAUUAGAUACCCUGGUAGUCCACGCCGUAAACGAUGAGUGCUAAGUGUUGGAGGGUUUCCGCCCUUCAGUGCUGCAGCAAACGCAUUAAGCACUCCGCCUGGGGAGUACGACCGCAAGGUUGAAACUCAAAGGAAUUGACGGGG
rnacentral:rRNA from 1 species